rnacentral:rRNA from 1 species
GGCGCUCAAAGGUUCUCUCAGUACGGUCGGAAAUCGUACGUAGAGUGUAAAGGCAAAAGAGAGCUUGAUUGCAAGACAUACAGGUCGAGCAAGGAUGAAAAUCGGUCUUAGUGAUCCGGUGGUUCUGCGUGGAAGGGCCAUCGCUCAACGGAUAAAAGCUACCCUGGGGAUAACAGGCUUAUCUCCCCCAAGAGUCCACAUCGACGGGGAGGUUUGGCACCUCGAUGUCGGCU